GAGCGGCCCAGGAAGAUGGAAGUCUUUCAUUGUUAAAUCUCUGCAAGAGCUGUUUAAACACACACACAAAGUUAAUAUGCGCAUUCUUUACAGUAACUUUCUUCAAACUGGAGGAAGGAGAGUUCUGUUCUGUUUUUGGCAGAGCCUUUGGAGCAGGUUCUGCCUGGAAGGCAUGAACCCCCACAGCUUGGUCUUGAGGACAAAGGUUUUUGGUCCCAUGCUGGACUUGGACAGACUGUUUUUUCUUGCGCUGGGCUGGUGUUGAAUGAAGGGGAGCAACACCUCCCUCAACCUUCUGGUGAUAUUCUUCUGAAGUCAACCCAGGAUGCCAUUUGUCCUACUUGUCCUUGAGAUUAUUGUUCAACCUGUUGUCCACCAGGUCCUUCUUUGAUGAACUGCUUUUCAGCUGAGUGGUGCCAGCAAGCACUGAUGCUCAGAAGUAUUCCUUCCAGGUGCAGGACUUUGCCCUUCUCCUUCUUGAAAUUCAUGAAGCUCCUGUGGGCCCAAUUCUCCAUGCUGCUCAUCUCCCUUUGGAUGAGAGCCUGAUCACCUCAUAUAUCAUCCACUCCUCACAGUUUUCAUAGAAUCAGAAAAUUGCUCGGGUUGGGACCUUCAAGAUCAUCAAGUCCAACUACAAAAAAAUGUAUAACUGAACUUUCUAGUGGUGUACUCUGCCCUGAUAUCUAGGUAACUAAUGAAGAUAUUAAGCAGUGUUGGCCCUGUAUCAGUUCCUGGGGUGCUCCACUGCUUCCAACUGGACUUUGUGCUGCUUGUCAUCACAGUCUUCCAAGUCAGGCUGUUCAUUUAGUUCACCUCACUAUGCACAUAUUUAACCUGUACUUUGUCAGCUAGACUAUGAGGAUACUGUGGAAGCAGGUGUCAAAAUCUUUUUUUCUUUCUUGCAAGAUUAAAUGUCAGAUACUGUU
rnacentral:lncRNA from 7 species